UACGGAGGAUCCAAGCGUUAUCCGGAUUUAUUGGGUUUAAAGGGUGCGUAGGCGGUUUAUUAAAUCAGGGGUGAAAGACGGCAGCUUAACUGUCGCAGUGCCUUUGAUACUGAUGAACUUGAAUGUACUAGAAGUAGGCGGAAUGUGACAAGUAGCGGUGAAAUGCAUAGAUAUUAUCAAGAACACCGAUUGCGAAGGCAGCUUACUAAGGAGUUACUGACACUGAGGCACGAAAGCGUGGGGAUCAAACAGG
rnacentral:rRNA from 1 species